rnacentral:rRNA from 1 species
AGAAUCAACGCUGGCGGCGUGCCUAACACAUGCAAGUCGAACGAGAAAGUGGAGCAAUCCAUGAGUAAAGUGGCGCACGGGUGAGUAACACGUGACUAACCUACCCUUGAGUGGGGGAUAACCUAGAGAAAUCUGGGCUAAUACCGCAUAAUACCUUCGGGUCAAAGGAGCAAUUCGCUUUAGGAGGGGGUCGCGGCCGAUUAGUUAGUUGGCGGGGUAAUGGCCCACCAAGACUGUGAUCGGUAUCCGGCCUGAGAGGGCGCACGGACACACUGGAACUGAAACACGGUCCAGACUCCUACGGGAGGCAGCAGUGGGGAAUUUUGCGCAAUGGGGGAAACCCUGACGCAGCAACGCCGCGUGGAGGAUGAAGCCCCGUUGGGGCGUAAACUCCUUUCGAUCGGGAAGAUAAUGACGGUACCGAGAGAAGAAGCCCCGGCUAACUUCGCGCCAGCAGCCGC